rnacentral:rRNA from 1 species
GACGAACGCUGGCGGCGUGCCUAACACAUGCAAGUCGAGCGAAUGAAGUUCCUUCGGGAAUGGAUUUAGCGGCGGACGGGUGAGUAACACGUGGGCAACCUGCCUCAUAGAGGGGGAUAGCCUUCCGAAAGGGAGAUUAAUACCGCAUAAGAUUGUAGUACCGCAUGAUACAGCAAUUAAAGGAGCAAUCCGCUAUGAGAUGGGCCCGCGGCGCAUUAGCUAGUUGGUGAGGUAACGGCUCACCAAGGCGACGAUGCGUAGCCGACCUGAGAGGGUGAUCGGCCACAUUGGGACUGAGACACGGCCCAGACUCCUACGGGAGGCAGCAGUGGGGAAUAUUGCACAAUGGGGGAAACCCUGAUGCAGCAACGCCGCGUGAGUGAUGACGGCCUUCGGGUUGUAAAGCUCUGUCUUCAGGGACGAUAAUGACGGUACCUGAGGAGGAAGCCACGGCUAACUACGUGCCAGCCGCCGCGGUAAUAC